UAACUUCAUUUUGGUUUCUAGACCUGUGU
rnacentral:piRNA from 1 species